AGAGUUUGAUCCUGGCUCAGGAUGAACGCUGGCGGCGUGCUUAACACAUGCAAGUCGAGCGAGAAAAGUUCUUCGGAGCUUUUCUAGCGGCGGACGGGUGAGUAACACGUGGGCAACCUGCCUCAUAGAGGGGAAUAGCCUUCCGAAAGGAAGAUUAAUACCGCAUAACAUUGUUGAAAGGCAUCUUUUAACAAUCAAAGGAGCAAUCCGCUAUGAGAUGGGCCCGCGGCGCAUUAGCUAGUUGGUGAGGUAACGGCUCACCAAGGCGACGAUGCGUAGCCGACCUGAGAGGGUGAUCGGCCACAUUGGAACUGAGACACGGUCCAGACUCCUACGGGAGGCAGCAGUGGGGAAUAUUGCACAAUGGGGGAAACCCUGAUGCAGCAACGCCGCGUGAGUGAUGAAGGUCUUCGGAUUGUAAAGCUCUGUCUUUAGGGACGAUAAUGACGGUACCUAAGGAGGAAGCCACGGCUAACUACGUGCCAGCAGCCGCGGUAAUACGUAGGUGGCAAGCGUUAUCCGGAUUUACU
rnacentral:rRNA from 1 species